AACGAACGCUGGCGGCAGGCUUAAUACAUGCAAGUCGAACGCCCCGCAAGGGGAGUGGCAGACGGGUGAGUAACGCGUGGGAAUCUACCCAGAUCUACGGAACAACAGUUGGAAACGACUGCUAAUACCGUAUACGCCCUACGGGGGAAAGAUUUAUCGGAUUUGGAUGAGCCCGCGUAAGAUUAGCUAGUUGGUGGGGUAAUGGCCUACCAAGGCGACGAUCUUUAGCUGGUCUGAGAGGAUGAUCAGCCACACUGGGACUGAGACACGGCCCAGACUCCUACGGGAGGCAGCAGUGGGGAAUAUUGGACAAUGGGCGCAAGCCUGAUCCAGCCAUGCCGCGUGAGUGAUGAAGGCCUUAGGGUUGUAAAGCUCUUUCAGUAGGGAAGAUAAUGACGGUACCUACAGAAGAAGCCCCGGCUAACUUCGUGCCAGCAGCCGCAGUAAAAC
rnacentral:rRNA from 1 species